rnacentral:lncRNA from 1 species
GACCAGAGACGUAUAAUUAAGAAAAGAGAAGUCUUAAAGGGCAACAUGAGAGACCUUUUCCAAGAAGAAAAGACAAUUGGAAAUGGGAAUUGGAUGGUUCAAUGUGACUCCAGGGGACAGAUCUAGGUCAACUGGGUGGAAGUUCAGAAAGGGGUCAGUGUAAGGGAGAAUUAGAGAAGAAUUCCAGCUACUAAGUCAUAAAUAGAAUGCUUGAGGAAGAAUGAGCCCCACCAGAAGUGUUCAAACAGAUUCUGGAGGCCCACGUGCCAAGAAGGUAGUGGGGAGAUUCCUGCCCUGGGUAAGGAGUGGAAUGAUUUACCACGCAAGACCUCCUCCAGCUCAUAGAGUCUGGGCUUCCAAGAAAACAACUGCGUCUACGGGAAGCGAGAUCAUAGGAGGAAAACUUCCCAGGGCAGGAGGGGAGAGGAGCCCACAUUCUACCCUCCCACUCAUGACACCCCUAAGUACGGGAAAGACUUCAGCAACCCCAAUGCCUUCCCUUUCUGCCCAACUAGUCAAAAACUCCUCCAAGUAGAAGGUAAUUGAUUUAUCACGUUACAAGGUUUUUUAGCUACAAAGAGUUGCUAACCAACAAACUUUUCCAAGCGAACCAAUCAGGACCCAGUGAGGUCAAUGCUUAAACCUCUUUCCUAAGAUGGAAUACUUCUCUCUCUGCUCGUGGCUUUCUUCCGGGCAGCAGAGGAUUGGUUCACAUCUCUCAGGGAAAUAAUUCUGCCAUCUCCCCACCUCUCGUGCUUUGUUCUAUGCUGGAUUAAUUUCAGGACCCAGAAAGUUCUCCUUCCCCUCUUGUCAUUGACAUUAUCAUUUGCUGUGCCUGGAGUAUGUCUCUCUUCUCUGCUUGGCCAGGGGGAGUUGACAGUGGCUAAAAAGGGGACAUCAGGAGGGAUCCUUGUGGCUAUCUGACUAUGUCAAUGUGAAUAUCCUGGUUGUGAUCUUUUACUACUGUAUUACAAGAUGGUACCAUUGGGAGAAAGUGGGUAAAGG